AUGCCGACGCCGUACAGCGCGGCGGCGCUGCAGCAGCACCAGCGUCUGGUCUCCUCCUCCGGCGGCCUGGCGGCGACGGGGGCCCACAGGUGCGGCGAGCACGACGGGACGGUGCCGCCGGAGGUGGCGCGGCACCACGAGCACGCGGCGCCGGGGGGGCGCUGCUGCUGCUCGGCGGUGGUGCAGCGCGUGGCGGCGCCGGCGGCGGACGUGUGGGCCGUGGUCCGGCGCUUCGACCAGCCGCAGGCGUACAAGAGCUUCGUGCGCAGCUGCGCGCUGCUGGACGGCGACGGCGGCGUGGGCACGCUGCGCGAGGUGCGCGUGGUGUCGGGCCUCCCCGCGGCGUCCAGCCGGGAGCGGCUGGAGAUCCUGGACGACGAGCGGCACGUGCUGAGCUUCAGCGUGGUGGGCGGCGAGCACCGGCUCCGCAACUACCGGUCGGUGACCACGGUGCACCCGGCGCCGGGGGAGAGCGCGUCGGCGACGCUGGUGGUGGAGUCGUACGUGGUGGACGUGCCCCCCGGGAACACGCCCGAGGACACCCGCGUCUUCGUGGACACCAUCGUCAAGUGCAACCUCCAGUCCCUCGCCCGCACCGCCGAGAAGCUCGCCGGCCGGGGGGCGGCCUACGGCGCGCUGCCGUGA
rnacentral:rRNA from 1 species